rnacentral:lncRNA from 1 species
AUGGCAGAGGAGGGGGAUCAGAAUUUCCCUUGUCCCUCAAACACAGCAGUAUUGAGGUCACAACACUUGGAAUACCAGCGAUACAGGCUGCAGAGGGACAGGAAAAUCUCCACAGGUGCAUUGGCAGGACAGAAGGGUGCGUAUGCGAAUUGGGAGAAAGAAAAUGGGCAGCGCAGGCAUGGAGUCGGGGAAGCCCUUUGGUGGAGAAACGAAAGGAAGAGAGAGAGAGGCUGUGGGAAGUGUAUUUGGAUAUGAGAAAACCUGUCCGGACCACAGACCAAGGAGAUGUCCAGAGAGCCAGUUUCUACUUUGCAAAACAGCCUUAGAAGCUAAAAAAACAGAAUUUUCAAGGUUGCCAUACUUUCUCUAGACCAGAGCUGCCACCUCCCACGCCUGGUGGGGAGGGAGCCGUCCCUAGGCUUGGUAGCAAUCUCAGGGCUACACUGGGAGAGAACACCUUGAGUAUGGUGGAAAGAGGAGGUAUUGCCCUCCCCAAGGGAAAAAGACCCUGCAGGCACGAACCAGAGGCCCUCUGUCCACUGCACAGAGUGGCGCUACUCCAGAACCAGGUCCGAGCAAAGCGGGAUCCUACAGGGUUUUGAAUCCCAGCUCAGCGCUCAGGGAGCACAGGAGACUGUGCAGCAGAGGCAAGCCGGCCCCCCAGGCUAUUCUGUGAGGACAGCCUAAACAGUGAGUUUUGAGACACCUCGUGUGGGCAGGAGAGAUUGGGGUGUCGCCAUUUCUCUCCCCAUGACCAACAAGGUGGGGCUUCAGGGAACGGACAGUGAGCCUCAGUGGAGCCAGGCCCAUUACCCCAAACCCUGCCUCUCUGUGCCUGGUAACUGCUUCUCUAUGGGAGUGAGACUGACACUGAUGGGACCAGACAGCCCCUCCCCUAGACCAGCACAGCCACCAGUCCCAGGCACCAGUAGACAACACUCCUCUGGUUUUGUAUCUUUGUUUGUUUUCAUUUGAAUUAUUAUUCUUUUUUUCUUUUCUUUUUUAAUGUUUAUUUCUCUAUUUUGAGAGAGAGAGAGAGAGAGAGAGAGAGAGAGAGAGAGAGAGAGAGAGAGAGAGAGAGAGAGAGAGAGAGAGAGAGAGAGAGAGAGAGAGAGAGAGAGAGAGAGAGAGAGAGAGAGAGA